UACGGAGGGUGCAAGCGUUAAUCGGAAUUACUGGGCGUAAAGCGCACGCAGGCGGUCUGUCAAGUCGGAUGUGAAAUCCCCGGGCUUAACCUGGGAACUGCAUUCGAAACUGGCAGGCUAGAGUCUUGUAGAGGGGGGUAGAAUUCCAGGUGUAGCGGUGAAAUGCGUAGAGAUCUGGAGGAAUACCGGUGGCGAAGGCGGCCCCCUGGACAAAGACUGACGCUCAGGUGCGAAAGCGUGGGGAGCAAACAGGAUUAGAUACC
rnacentral:rRNA from 1 species